GCUGCCAACACUUCUUCGCCUGUGUGUUUUUGCCACCUGUGGUAAAAACGAAUUGGCCAAACUGAAAGUUGCUCUUACCAAGACAAACUCACUCUCCCUGUUCUCGCCUCCUUUCAGGUGCUGAUUCAAGUCAGGUCAAGCCCAAGCAGAAAACCUCGUCCAGUCUCCGUCAAGAUCCCCAUUCAAGAAAAAUGCCAGCCCAUCUACUGGCGUCUCCUGCUCGCUCUCUGCCGCGGCACGCCCACUCACCGUCUUAGACUCAAGCAGUGCAAUCCUUGGAUUCCUCCCGGACCUCCUCACCUGGUUUCCUCCCCUGCAACUAUUCUUUAUCUCUAUUGAGUGACGCAGCCUUCCCCUUGGUGCCGGCAGUUUACCUAUCAUGCAGGAAGAAAGAAAUAAACUUCUUAAAUUUGCA